UACAGAGGUCUCAAGCGUUGUUCGGAUUCAUUGGGCGUAAAGGGUGCGUAGGCGGCGCGGUAAGUCGGGUGUGAAAUCUCGGAGCUUAACUCCGAAACUGCAUUCGAUACUGCCGUGCUUGAGGACUGGAGAGGAGACUGGAAUUUACGGUGUAGCGGUGAAAUGCGCAGAUAUCAGGAGGAACACCGAUGGCGAAGGCAGGUCACUGGGCCGCAACUGACGCUGAGGAGCGAAAGCAUGGGGAGCGAACAGG
rnacentral:rRNA from 1 species